GAGUUUGAUCCUGGCUCAGAGUGAACGCUGGCGGCGUGCCUAAUACAUGCAAGUCGAACGAUGAAUCUUCUAGCUUGCUAGAAGUGGAUUAGUGGCGCACGGGUGAGUAAUGCAUAGGUUAUGUGCCCUUUAGUCUGGGAUAGCCACUGGAAACGGUGAUUAAUACUGGAUACUCCCUACGGGGGAAAGUUUUUCGCUAAAGGAUCAGCCUAUGUCCUAUCAGCUUGUUGGUGAGGUAAUGGCUCACCAAGGCUAUGACGGGUAUCCGGCCUGAGAGGGUGAUCGGACACACUGGAACUGAGACACGGUCCAGACUCCUACGGGAGGCAGCAGUAGGGAAUAUUGCUCAAUGGGGGAAACCCUGAAGCAGCAACGCCGCGUGGAGGAUGAAGGUUGUAGGAUUGUAAACUC
rnacentral:rRNA from 1 species